ACUCAAAUGAAUUGACGGGGGCCCGCACAAGCGGUGGAGCAUGUGGUUCAAUUCGACGCAACGCGAAGAACCUUACCUGGGCUCGAAGUGUCGUGGACGGUCGGUGAAAGCCGAUUUCCCCGCAAGGGGCCGCGAUAGAGGUGCUGCAUGGCUGUCGUCAGCUCGUGUCGUGAGAUGUUGGGUUAAGUCCCGCAACGAGCGCAACCCUCGCCCUUAGUUGCCAGCCCGCAAGGGCGCACUCUAGGGGGACUGCCACGGAUAACGUGGAGGAAGGUGGGGAUGACGUCAAGUCCUCAUGGCCUUUAUGUCCAGGGCUACACACGUGCUACAAUGGACGGUACAAUCCGCUGCCAACCCGCGAGGGGGAGCCAAUCGGAAAAAGCCGUCCUCAGUUCGGAUUGCAGUCUGCAACUCGGCUGCAUGAAGCUGGAAUCGCUAGUAAUGGCGGAUCAGAAUGCCGCCGUGAAUACGUUCCCGGGCCUUGUACACACCGCCCGU
rnacentral:rRNA from 1 species